AGAAUCAACGCUGGCGGCGUGCCUAACACAUGCAAGUCGCACGAGAAAGGGGAGCAAUCCCUGAGUAAAGUGGCGCACGGGUGAGUAACACGUGAAUGAUCUACCUCCGAGUGGGGAAUAACUGAGAGAAAUCUUAGCUAAUACCGCAUAACACUUACGAGUCAAAGCAGCAAUGCGCUUGGAGAGGAGUUCGCGGCCGAUUAGCUAGUUGGCGGGGUAAUGGCCCACCAAGGCGAUGAUCGGUAUCCGGCCUGAGAGGGCGCACGGACACACUGGAACUGAAACACGGUCCAGACUCCUACGGGAGGCAGCAGUGGGGAAUUUUGCGCAAUGGGGGAAACCCUGACGCAGCAACGCCGCGUGGAGGAUGAAGCCCCUUGGGGUGUAAACUCCUUUCGAUCGGGAAGAUAAUGACGGUACCGAUAUAAGAAGCCCGGCUAACUUCGCGCCAGCAGCCGC
rnacentral:rRNA from 1 species